rnacentral:rRNA from 1 species
UGGGGAAUAUUGGACAAUGGGCGCAAGCCUGAUCCAGCCAUGCCGCGUGAGUGAUGAAGGCCUUAGGGUUGUAAAGCUCUUUUGUCCGGGAAGAUAAUGACCGUACCGGAAGAAUAAGCUCCGGCUAACUUCGUGCCAGCAGCCGCGGUAAUACGAAGGGAGCUAGCGUUGUUCGGAAUUACUGGGCGUAAAGCGCAUGCAGGCGGAUCGUUAAGUCGAGGGUGAAAUCCCAGGGCUCAACCCUGGAACUGCCUUCGAUACUGGCGACCUUGAGUCCGGGAGAGGUGAGUGGAACUCCGAGUGUAGAGGUGAAAUUCGUAGAUAUUCGGAAGAACACCAGUGGCGAAGGCGGCUCACUGGCCCGGUACUGACGCUGAGAUGCGAAAGCGUGGGGAGCAAACA